rnacentral:rRNA from 1 species
UACGUAGGGUGCAAGCGUUAAUUGGAAUUACUGGGCGUAAAGCGUGCGCAGGCGGUGAUGUAAGACAGGGGUGAAAUCCCCGGGCUUAACCUGGGAACUGCAUUUGUGACUGCAUCGCUGGAGUGCGGCAGAGGGGGAUGGAAUUCCGCGUGUAGCAGUGAAAUGCGUAGAUAUGCGGAGGAACACCGAUGGCGAAGGCAAUCCCCUGGGCCUGCACUGACGCUCAUGCACGAAAGCGUGGGGAGCAAACAGG